UACGAAGUGUGCAAGCGUUACUCGGAAUUACUGGGCGUAAAGCGUGCGUAGGUGGUUGUUUAAGUCUGUUGUGAAAGCCCUGGGCUCAACCUGGGAAUUGCAGUGGAUACUGGGCGACUAGAGUGUGGUAGAGGGUAGUGGAAUUCCCGGUGUAGCAGUGAAAUGCGUAGAGAUCGGGAGGAACAUCCAUGGCGAAGGCAGCUACCUGGACCAACACUGACACUGAGGCACGAAAGCGUGGGGAGCAAACAGG
rnacentral:rRNA from 1 species